AUUCCAGCUCCAGUAGCGUAUAUUAAAGUUGAUGCAGUUAAAAAGCUCGUAGUUGGAUUUCUGACUUCAGAUACCUGACCCUCCCUCGCUAGAGGUGUGUGUGCCGGAGUAUUUGUAUCAUCCUUUCAGUGAUCGGCUCUACCCUUAACUGGGUCGGAGCUGCUAGCUGGAUCUUUUACUUUGAAGAAAUUGGAGUGUUUAAAGCAGGCUUACGCCAGAACAUAUUAGCAUGGAAUAAUAAUUUAGGACUUUUGUUCUAUUUUGUUGGUUUCUAGGACGAAAGUAAUGAUUGAUAGGGAUAGUUGGGGGUGCUAGUAUUCGGCGGCCAGAGGUGAAAUUCUUUGAUCCGCUGAAGACUAACUUAUGCGAAAGCAUUCACCAAGGAUGUCUUCAUUA
rnacentral:rRNA from 1 species